UCCUGGUUAGCUCAAUUGGUAGAGCGCUCCACCUGUAAUGGAGAGGUCCCGGGUUCGAUACCCGGACCAGGCG
rfam:Ixodes scapularis strain Wikel colony gcontig_1108379711030, whole genome shotgun sequence.